GUGCAAUUGAUGUUAUACUUGUCCCAACAAGAAAUUCCCAUUCUAUUAACUUUGUCAGCUGGGCUUCAUUACUUGCAGUUGAUUUUCAUGAAUGGAACAUCG